ACCUCACUCCAUAUCAACAAGCAUAAUCUUAUUGUGCCUUACUGGUUAAUUAAUGAUAAUUUCCCCCUUUUUUCUACACAAGAUUUCAACAGAGGCAGAGGGUCACCAUGCGGUCUUGGCAUCCGACAGCCUCAAAGAUGUUGAAAAGUUUCUCCUGGAAAUUGCCCGGAGAGACAGGAUCAAAGAAGGCAACAGAAAAGGCAGUGGUCCCCAAAAGAGGAUGCAGCUAUAAUGAGACCUUUUAAAAAGCACAUUGCCAAGGGAAAACUGGCCACAAGAAUUGAAUGCCAGCAGUGCAAGAACGCUGAACAUCCUGAUCUUGAUAGGCGGUCACUUCAAAACAUCACAUACUUUGUUAGAAAUCGGGGCAAAGCUCUGCAAAAGAAAACCAGCCAAUAAAGUGUUAUGUUGCUGUUAUGAUGCAAUUAUGUUGUAGUUCUUUGUUGUUCUUAAAAAAGGGCUAGUUUCCGCUGAUGCCUCAGUUUUUUUGUAAACUGCUGUCUGUAUUAAAAUGGCACCUUUUUCACUGACUGAUGUAAUUUGUCUGUUUGUAUAAGCUGUCUUUUACAAGGUCAUACUGGAUGUAGAUUACCAGUCAUAUCACACAAAUAGCAUUGUAUUUCAAGAGACCACUGCACUUUAAAGUGGUCCUCCUACUGCAUCAGAGAUGUCAUUGCUGCAUGUGUACCAUAUUAAAUACCAGGUGUAUUUGCAAUGACUUUGAAGGUUAAUCACUCAUGCCCUCAAAGGGGCAAAAGACAUAAAUCAGACAAUAAAAGUGGUUGCACACAUUGACCUAUCUAUAUCUAUUUAUGUAU